UCUUCCUUCACUAUACACUACUUCCCUCCUCCUCCUCUCUCUUUUUAUCUUCUUUCCUCUUUGUGUAGUUGAGGAAUCCUUCCAUGAACAGGUUGAAGAGUUAAAGUCAUUUCAUAAGAAGGAGGUUCAUGAGUUACAGUCCAGACAUGAUAAGGAGCUGAUGGAGAUGCAUUCAAGUUACCAGUCAUCAAUUGAAAAAUUGAGACAAGAGAUUUCUCACAAAAGGAGUUAAUAGAGAAGUACUAAUACUAGUUUCAUUAGAUCAUUAUCAUUAUUAUUAUUGUGGUAUAAUAUUGUUUUAUUUAUCUUUUUAUAACUUUUCUCUCUGUUUGAUAUAAGAACUGCAGAUUAUAGACAUGUAA